rnacentral:sRNA from 1 species
UUUGCACAGGGGAGAUCCUUUUUAUCAACUUCUGUUGAAUAAGCAAAUCCAGAGUUGAAUAAGAAGGGGGGGAUACACGAAUACUUGUCUCUCAGGAAAAGUUGCCAAGUCCAGGGGGGGUAAGGUAAAGAAACAUAAAUAUGUUGAAUCUUGACCACCUCUAAAUUAAUCAUCACAAAGCUAGGACUUGGCCCUAACGCAACAGCGAACACACACAACAAAAACAAAUUAUUGCUAUCUAUGAAGCAAUGAUACAACAGGGCCGGAGCACCAUGAAAUUAUGGGAUGCUCCUGGUGAACUGUUGACAAAUAGGUGAUAAUCCUGUCAUUUACAGAGUCGCAAACAGCGUUUCUUCCUUUCUCUUUCCGUUGUGGAGAUUCCUCUUUCUCUUGCCAUAUUAUUUCCUCUUACCGCCACCAAGGGACAGCAGCUCCAGGCUGCGGUGGAGAGGCUCGUCGCGGGACCCUCUUGCAACGGCUGCUCGUGAGAGAGAAGUGGCCCUUGUCUCUCCAACCGAUGGAUUAACCCUCUGCGUGCUGGAAGGACGGCUUCCACUGCUUGAGAACAACCUGCUUGUCCGGCUGUAUUGCUGCUCCAUUGGUUCCACCGAUGAACCUGGCCUGCUGCUUGACGCAACCGCUCUCCUUGAUGCACUGCCUGUACGGGAGGAUGUACGGGGUCUUUCCACGGUCCUUUCGCCGGACCGGUCGGUGCUAUGCAUCUGAGAAGGUGAACCAUUUCAUGAUCUGACAUUGACGGCCGUUGUGCAUAAUUGUCACUCUGAUUCAAAGAACCAGUAGGAUUCCUUCUGCCAGAUGCUUCACCUGGGGCCUUUUCCAUCUUCUCCAUAGAAGGUCCCGCAGCUCCACUGGUUCUUUCACUUGGCUGAAUCAACAAGAAGAACAAACCUAUCUGGGGAUAUUUCAAAAUGGUCCAGUCAAAUACAUAAUCAAAUUGAUAUCCUUCCCGGAUAAAGAGAUCACGGAAUAGCCUCUUUAAGUAAGAAUAAUCUGGCUUGUCUUCAAACCUCAAUGAACGGCAGUAGUGGAAGUAAGAAAUGAAUUCUGAUGGGUAAGAUUUGCAAAGUACCUCCACAGGAGUAAGCAUCUUUUUCUCACUUAUUUUGUCGUACUUCUGCUUCUUAGUGCCUGCUUUCAGCCCCUGCCAUGGUAGGCUGUUGGAAGAAGUACAUAAGGACAUAACCAAGAGAUUCUAGAUCAUCUCUUCUGCUUUGCUCAACACCAAGAUGGGUAUUGACACUUGCAUACCGAGCUGUUCCAGUGAGGUUCUUUUGUACACCAACCUGUAUGGGAUGUGCUUGUGAGUCUGAAGGUCCCUAUAUUUCUUCGCAAGCCCAUAAUCUAUUAUAUAUACCUGAAACAAGGUCAAAAAUAGUCAAAAUUAACUGGAUUCAAGAUUUGCUAACCAAAUCUUGUUUCUUUCUAUCCCACAAGUUAUCUACAAUUAUUAUUAACAGACCACAGUUGUAUUUUAACUAAAUUCACCAGAUAUCAGAGCAUUAAUUUAGGGCCUGUUCACUUUGAUGCCAAAAAAACCUUACCAAAUUUUGGCCAAAAUUUUGGUAACUUGCCAAAAUUUUGGUAGGAUUUCUUAUAUAGUUAUCAAAAUUUGGUAGAAAACUAAAUGUAGCUACUUUUUUGGUAACUUUACCAAAAUUUGGUAAGGUUGAAAAUGGCAUCAAAGUGAACAGGCCCUUAAAACCCAAGCCAUAUCAUUCUACUGGAACAUCUUUUUGGACCUUCAUAGCAAUGAAGAGCACCAAGUUACGAAAAAUUUAAGGCGUUAGGGCACCACUGUAUCAAAUGGAAUACCAUGAAACUAUUGAUGUGGUUAAACAUGCAGAAACACAAAAUGGUAAUAGCCAGGUAGGAACGCAAACCUGAUUGGCUUUCCUACCAAGCCCCAUAAGGAAAUUAUCAGGCUUGAUAUCACGGUGAAGAAAUCCCUUCUGAUGCAUGUACUCAACUCGAUUGAUCUGGAUAACGAACAAAUGGACAGUCUUUAACGAGAAUUUCCUACUGCAAUAGUUGAAUAGGUCCUCAAGGCUUGGCCCAAGAAGAUCGAUCACCAUCACAUUGUACUCUCCCUCCACGCCAAACCACUUCAAGCGCAAACUUACUUCCUCCCUGCAGAAGCAUGUACAGCUUCGACUCAUAAUGAAGCUGUGGGUGCUUCGUCUUAACAUUUUCCUGUGAGACCAAAGCAAACAGGUCAGCAACACCAAUGAAGAGCUCCCCGAAGGAUCCACUCCCGAUCUUCUUUCCAAGCUUGAACUUGCCCCCGACUACAUGAUCCAUCUCCUUGCUGCUCCGAUGGUCUCAACCAAACGAAUCAACUGCCCCCCCCCCCCCUUUCCCCUCUAAUCCCACCCCGAGAUCCAAACCCGUCGAGGCGAGCGGCGCCGCGCCGAGGCGAAUCGAAUCGGGAUUCGGGCACGAGGGCCUCUAGGACGCCAGAUCCAGGCAAACCACCAAGAAAUCCGGUCG